rnacentral:rRNA from 1 species
GACGAACCGUGCGAACGUUGUUCGGAAUCACUGGGCUUAAAGGGCGCGUAGGCGGGCUGACAAGUCUGGGGUGAAAUCCCGCGGCUCAACCGUGGAACUGCCUUAGAUACUGUCGGCCUCGAGGAAGGUAGGGGCAUGCGGAACUGUAGGUGGAGCGGUGAAAUGCGUUGAUAUCUACAGGAACUCCGGUGGCGAAAGCGGCGUGCUGGACCUCUUCUGACGCUGAGGCGCGAAAGCCAGGGGAGCAAACGGG